rnacentral:ncRNA from 1 species
GCCAGGGGCUCUUCGCAGAGCCUCCAGAUCGAUCCCGUACCACCAUUCGGGGCGGUCCGUGUUUUAACAGCCCACAAGGCGUUUUAACGAGGUUGCGACUGGAACGAAAGUUGUCCUGAGGGACGGGGAAGCCUAAGCGUUAUCAGCCAGACCAUUCGAGCAGAACCUGCAUCGCCUAGUGGCAUCCACGAGCCGCGCAGCCGCAGCAACUGUCUCACCGGGCUGUCUUGUUUCGUCC